rnacentral:rRNA from 2 species
UUGGGAAUAUUAGGCAAUGGACGAAAGUCUGACCUAGCGACGCCGCGUGAGGGAAGAAGGCCUUCGGGUCGUAAACCUCUGCCAUUGGGGACGAAGAAAGUGACGGUACCCAAGGAGGAAGCCCCUGCUAACUACGUGCCAGCAGCCGCGGUAAUACGUAGGGGGCGAGCGUUGUCCGGAGUUACUGGGCGUAAAGGGCGUGUAGGCGGCUUGUUAAGUCAGGUGUGAAAUUUCAGGGCUCAACCCUGAAACUGCGCUUGAAACUGGCAGGCUUGAGGACAGGAGAGGGAAGUGGAAUCCCCGGUGUAGCGGUGAAAUGCGUAGAUAUCGGGGGGAAUACCAGUGGCGAAGGCGGCUUCCUGGACUGUACCUGACGCUGAGGCGCGAAAGCUAGGGGAGCAAACAGG